rnacentral:lncRNA from 1 species
CUGGUUGAAAGAAUGAUAAAAUCACUGUUUAAUCCUCUGUAAAGUUUUGAUUAAUGGAUAAAGGAUUUAUGAGGCUAGUUGUAAGCUGCAGCCAAUCUGGUGUGCUUUGUUUGUCUUUCUGUUUGGUUCUGUUAUGAAGAGGAGUACCUUAGGAUGGACUGUGGGCCUAGUACUCUAUAAACCCACUGUUCAAGCCAGCCCAGCAAACUGGACACAAUUUGAGAAACUGGUUGUUUUGCCAAGGCUUUGACUGGAAGGACGUGCUUCUCUUUAAGGAAUCAAGCUUGACUUGCAGAGCCAAUAAAAGCCCCUUGGGAAAACUGGCCUCAUACCUUGUCUACACAGUUCGUGUACAGGGUUCUUAACCUGUGACUAACCCUGCUUGUACCUGUGAACCAACCAGCGAUCUCUGGCUGAAGCUCAGAAGAAACAAAUGUAGAGACGAGGUUUCACCGUGUUGGCUAGGAUGGUCUCGAUCUCCUCACCUCGUGAUCCGCCUGCCUCGGCCUCCCAAAGUGCUGGGAUUACAGGCGUGAGCCACCGUGCCCGGCCUCUUCCAGGUACUCUUAAAGCAACCUCAGGAGGAGCUCUAAUGGCUUUCUCCAAACAGCGCCCCCUGUCAGCAGGACACAGUUAAGAGUGGACAUCGUUCACUUUCCCCAACAGCAGUUGGGGUCUUCACUCCUGAAUGGGGGAAGGAAAGGAGUUAGCCAGCUUCCUUUAGACAGAAAGUAAGAGAAGGGUCCUCAAGGAACCUCCGACCUGCCCCACAAGUGUUUACACCAGAUGUUUUGUGCAGAUAAGGGAACUUGCACAGGGGGCUUGUUUAAACAUGCCCUCAGUGGAAAAUUCUGUUCCUUAACACAUACAUACACAGUUAGAGAAAUAAAUCAAUAUGGAGUGGCUCAGUCUAAGGGCUCACAUGUGCACUGGAAGGAUGGGGUGGAGCUGCCAGGAAUUCACUCACACCUUAAGCCCUAGCCCUGGUAUUCAACUGUGAAGGGGACAACUGGAAACCUGCUUUCAGGACCUCUCCCUUUGCUGAGAGCUUUCCUUUCGCUUAAUAAAUUCUACUCCAUUCACUCUUUGGUGUCCAUGUGCCUAAUUCUUCCCGGUCUUGAGGCAAUAACCUGGACCUAGCUGAGAUAAGGAGCAAAAAUCCUGCAACACUAUGACAUACAGAGGUAUCAAACUUGCACCUGUACCCUCUGAAUCUUAAAUAAAAGUUUAAAAAAUUUAAAAAUAAUAAAUUAAGUAAUUAAAUAUGCA